rnacentral:lncRNA from 1 species
UCCUGCACUCCUGACUGGUGUCACCUCACCCACCUCUUUGCUUUUUCGGACAAUUGUUGAUUGGCACUAAUUAACUGAUUGAAGAAUUAAUUAUGAAGAUGUGGUGAGAUGAAUUAAUUCAGCUUCUGGCAUACAGUGGAUAUUCAACUAAUUAUUGGCAUGUGUUCUUAAAAUGGUUGCUCAGAAGAUGGCCUGUAGACUAAACAAAAUCUGUGGAAUCUAUUGCACUACUUAAACAAACCAAACAACCGGUACUUAAAAAGACAACAGGUGUCAGUAUCACACUGCAGGAUAGGAGAGCU